UACGGGGGGGAGCAAGCGUUGUUCGGAUUUACUGGGCGUAAAGGGCGCGUAGGCGGUCGUGACAAGUCACUUGUGAAAUCUCCGGGCUUAACUCGGAACGGUCAAGUGAUACUGUCGGACUAGAGUACAGAAGGGGCAACUGGAAUUCUCGGUGUAGCGGUGAAAUGCGUAGAUAUCGAGAGGAACACCUGCGGCGAAGGCGGGUUGCUGGGCUGAUACUGACGCUGAGGAGCGAAAGCGUGGGGGAGCGAACAGG
rnacentral:rRNA from 1 species